AUUUUAAUAGGUCUCAAUUUAUUAGAAAUAAAAUAAUUUAAACAUAUUAAUGACAUAGUAAUAAAUAGUAACAAAUUUGUUAAAGUGAAUAAAAUAAUCCAGAUUCGUCACAUUUCACGCAGAUUCAUCGCACAAUGUUCUAAACCCAGAUUCAUCGCAUUUCACCGGAACCCUUUUCACCAACGCUUCUCAUCGAAACUCUUCGCUUAUUUCACAGCUCACCAUCACAGUUCACCACCGACAACAAAGCUGAAGAAAUUUGAGAGGAACCCAUCGUUCAUUUCACAGUGACGACAACGAAGCUGAAGCCGUUUGAUCAAAUUCCCCAACCAAAUACCCCAAAACGAACUUCAUGGCGACGCCGUCGUUUUGUUCUGGAAUGGAAACUGAAGUGUGCUGACGGCGAUGCCGAAUUGCUUCACGUUUCCGACAAUCAUCGAGUCGUGUGCGGAGUCGAAAGGAUUUGCAGAAGGUGAAGAAGUUCAUUAUUGUGCUGCAAAGUGCUGUUUUAAGUAAAAUUCAUUUGUGGAUACUUUGUUGAUUGACAUGUACUCGGUAAAGGGUUGUAUUGAAGAUGCUUAUAAAGUGUUUAGUGAAAUGCGUGAGAGUAAUGUUGUUGUGUGGACUGUUGUUAUAAGCGCUUAUAUAUCUUGUGGUGAUGUGGCUUCUGGGAGAUUGUUGCGUUGUGGGAUGUCGCUAUUCUUCGGGUGAUGAUGAUGAUAGAGAUGAAGGAUUGGCAUCGUGGUUUGGUGGAUGAAGGAUGUUGAUGGUGAUGAUGUCGUUGCCGUAUAGAGAAGAUGAGAGUUCUGCAGAUUGAAGGUUGAAGUGGUGGAGAUGGUGAAUGGUGAAUUGAAGGUUGGAGUUUGAAGAUUGUUUCGUGAAUUGGUGAAUGAAGACCCUCAAGGAUUGAAAGAAAUUUUCUGAGUAUUUGUGAUGAACAAAGAGUUGAUUUUUCUUCAAGGUACCCUCAAGGGUGAGCCAAAAAUGAUUUCCCUUUGUGAAUGAAGACCCUCAAGGUAUGCUUUAUUUCCUUUAUGAGUUAUAUGUUAAUGACUAAAUUUUGGUGGACCGGUAAGAACCCCGACAUCGAUUCCAGCUUGCUGUAGGGGCUCAAUGGCUUCUGGUACAUCCUCUAGCAGCUUGUCCUCAAUUCUAGUUGCUCCAAAUAAAUUCAAAUUGCCUUCUAUAAGAGCUGCAGAUUGGUUUUGAAGUUAUUGCUCUUUUUUUGUGGUGAUUCUUUCUACUGGACCUCUAUUGGUUAAUUUGAGUUUUUCUAUAAGCAUAAACAUCUUUGAUACUGUUUAUGAUAGUUUAUAGAAACAACUUAUAACAUGUCCAUAAGCUGUUUUUAACAAAUAUCCAGAAGCUCUCCAACAUAGCUUAUUUGAUAAGCACAUAUGCUAUAAGGGCUUAAGUAAGUUGUUGAUCCAAAAAUAUAACUAAUAAGCAUUCUAUAAUAAAAUCACCUAAAGCUAAAAUUACAAUUUUCACUUUCAGAUGCAAUUUUCCUUUUUUCUCUAUCAGUUCUCAGUAAUGAUUAUGGCAUGUUGAAAACAAGCACAUAAGAUUGUGUGAUUUUCUGUGUUUGACAUUAAAACAUGCUAUAGCAAGAGGACUUAAAGAUCCUUCUUUUCGAGUGAUUUAAAGCCACUUUGCAAUUUCAGCUAAUCUAGGAGAGGUAGCAGCAAAGGUGAUGUAUACUCUCAUGCCAUUCACUUAAGAUCAUUUGUUUCCGCAUUAUUUUCAUGGUGUCGUUCUGUUAUGUUACAGUGUUGAUUUAGUGGAACUUCGACUAUAAACACAAUGGUUGGCGCUAUUUCAGUAACCCACCCAGCAACCACCAUUUUAACAUCUCGGACAUAUAGUCGAAAACCUGGUAACAAACCACGAACAAUAUCAAUGUCUCUCAGAAACGGAAAUAGCCAUAAACAGCAGUUAGAACGUGAAAGGCUCUAUCUCGGGUUAGACUUCGACUUAUGUAGCUUUUACAUUAAUCUUUGGGAUCACUUUUCCUUUCUUUGGAGAUCUUCUUGGAUUCUUUGGUGGAUUUGGUUUUGCUCCAACUGCAUAUUUUGUAAGGCUUUUUGUUUUCACAUUUUCUUCAUGCUCAUAUCAAAUUGCCAAAUUUAUUUCUCAAAACUAAAAAAUAAUGCAAUUCUUGGCUUGUAAUUGUUUCGGCUUCCUAGCAUAAUGUGGCUAAUAAUUAAGAAGCCAAAGAGAUUCAGCACCAACUGGUUCAUCAAUUGGGUAUUAUCAAUUCACAUUAUCAUCUUUUCUUUAAAAUCUAAUAAUCCAAAAUCAGAAUACAAUUUAUGUGUAUUUCAUUUCAGGGUUCAAUUUACAUAGGAGUGUGUAUUAUGGUGGCAUCCACAGUUGGUGGCUUAAGGAACAUUAUUGCUGAUUCAUCCACUUAUAGUUUCUAUACCUAAACUACACGAUGUUGCAAUUAUCUCAAACUUUACCCAAUGUCUUUACUUUUUUUAGUAGUAUGAUGAAUCAUAGUUAUUGUAUGAUUAAUUAUAAAAAAUAAUAGCUCACAUAAAGUAGCACAAUGUUGAAUUGCAUGGUGUAUACUAUUAAAUUUUAAUUGCAAUUUUAGUCCUUCCUACUAUUUCACUUUGUAAGAAUAGUCUCUAUUUUUUGUUUUAUAAUGAAACUCAACUGUAAAUACGAAGGUUUAAACUCUAGUGAUGACGUUCAAUCUAACAAUAUUAACUUUUGUGUUUGUUGAGUUAGGAUUUGUCAACAAAACAGUCCCAGAUUGGCUUAUGUGGCUUCUUCAUGAAAAGCUUGGAGUUUCAGAUUACAAUAAUGCGCAAGCUCUAACUUAAUAUCUGUUUUUGAAUUGGACAAUUUAUCCAUUUUUAUGUUUUGCAGGUUGGUUAUGUUCCUGAAGCUGACUCAUAUCCAUCAUGGCUAAUCUCUCAACCUUACUCUCAUCUUUUACCUUCAGUUGUUGCACCAGGAACUCCAAUUGCUUGUUUAAAGGAGGAACUUAGAAAUAAAUUUGUUGCAAAACCUCUAGUUGUGGAUGGCACUGCAAAGUCACAUGAACUAUAUCUUGCUUAUGACGAGUUCUCUCUUUCAGAGCUUGAACCUCCUCUGGUUCUACAAGAGUUUGUGAAUCAUGGUGUGUAAUCUGAUUCAUAGUCCACUAUCAGUCUGUAUGUUAGAAAGGAUAACUCAGCAUUAAAAAUAAAUGACGUGAGUAUUAUUCAAAAGACUAACGUAGAGAAAGCGGAAUCUCAUACAAAUUACAAUUGUUAAUUUCUUUUAUGUGUAUGAUUUUAUAGUACUUGAAAUAUUAUGACUGCACAUGAUUUUGUAUACCUUUUGGUUAAUAUUAAAAAUAUUUUGACUUAGUGAAAAUAUGAUUUUUAUGUGUAUGAUUUUAUAGUAUUUGCAAUAUUAUGACUGAAAAUGAAAUAUAACUAAAUGGUGUAUAUGAAAUAGGGUGUAAAUAGAUAUAAUUGUUCAUUCAUAAAUGGCGUAUU